AGCUCCUCAUAACAAGUCUAACUGGCUCUGGAAGGCUGAAAGGGCUGCACUAGAACAACAAAGAUGAGAUAUUCCACAUAACACUCAGCUGAUCUGGAAUCACCUUCUUUGCAGGGCCAGAGAAAAAUCACCACUUCACUGUCUGAGGGAAGCAGGACAGAGGACCUGGGAAAUGCGACCUCACCCUGGAGCAAGAUCUUUUAUGGUUUGGCAAUCCCAACAGUGCUGGCCUUAAAGAUCCCACCUACCGCUGGAACCUGGAGGGCAACUACAGCAGCAAAAACCCGAAGUGCUGCUGCCUAUGGUGACUAUGUGAGAAUUGAAACUUUUGAGGGAAGCCAGGUUGUUAAAACUGUGAUUCCCUUUACUCAACGGUAACACGGAUGAUCUAGUCUGAAAGGGAAAGCAAGCUCUUAAGACAAGUCCAAGGAUACUCUAAACUAAGGCAUUUAAGUCACUUCACAUGAUAAUUGUCCAGAAGUUUCCUAUAGGAAAACUUCAUCUUUGACAACUUUGAAGAUAACCAUCUCACCACUCAAGACAAUGGCCAACCACCAUCCAGCAAGUCCUUGAGUUAGAAGCUUUCUCAACUUCUGGAGAUUGUCUGUGUCAAUAUAAAACUCAGUUUCCUACUGACCCCCGGUGCCCUGACCCUU